UACGUAGGGUGGCAAGCGUUGUCCGGAAUUAUUGGGCGUAAAGCGCGCGCAGGCGGUCCUUUAAGUCUGAUGUGAAAAGCCCAGCGGCUCAACCGUGGAGGGUCAUUGGAAACUGGGGGGACUUGAGUGCAGAAGAGGAAAGCGGAAUUCCACGUGUAGCGGAUGAAAUGCGUAGAGAUGUGGAGGAACACCAGUGGCGAAGGCGGCUUUCUGGUCGUGAUAACUGACGCUGAGGCGCGAAAGCGUGGGGAGCAAACAGG
rnacentral:rRNA from 1 species